rnacentral:rRNA from 1 species
AUAUCAAUAAGCGGAGGAAAAGAAACCAACAGGGAUUGCCCUAGUAACGGCGAGUGAAGCGGCAACAGCUCAAAUUUGAAAUCUGGCCCCUUCGGGGUCCGAGUUGUAAUUUGCAGAGGAUGCUUCGGCGUUGGCCCCGGGCUAAGUCCCCUGGAACGAGGCGCCCUAGAGGGUGAGAGCCCCGUGUUCACCUGGGUGUCCUUCGCCGUGUGAAGCCCCUUCGACGAGUCGAGUUGUUUGGGAAUGCAGCUCUAAGCGGGAGGUAUAUUUCUUCUAAGGCUAAAUACCGGCCAGAGACCGAUAGCGCACAAGUAGAGUGAUCGAAAGAUGAAAAGCACUUUGGAAAGAGAGUUAAAAAGCACGUGAAAUUGUUGAAAGGGAAGCUCUUGCCGCCAGACUUGCCGCGGUUGCUCAGCCGUCCCCCGGGACGGCGCACUCUUCCGUCGGCAGGCCAGCGUCGGUUCGGGCGACCGGAUAAAGGCCCCGGGGAUGUAGCACCCUCCGGGGUGUGUUAUAGCCCGGGGCGCAAUGCGGUCAGCCCGGUCCGAGGUGCGCGUUCGCGAGGACGCUGGCGUAAUGGCUGCAAGCGACCCGUCUUGAAACACGGACCAAGGAGUCUAACAUCUGUGCGAGUGUUUGGGCGUCAAACCCAUGCGCGCAAUGAAAGUGAACGGAGGUGGGAACCCCCUCGAGGGGCGCACCAUCGACCGAUCCUGAUGUCUUCGGAUGGAUUUGAGUAAGAGCAUGGCUGUUGGGACCCGAAAGAUGGUGAACUAUUCCCGGAUAGGGUGAAGCCAGAGGAAACUCUGGUGGAGGCUCGCAGCGGUUCUGACGUGCAAAUC